rnacentral:rRNA from 1 species
GAUGAACGCUGGCGGCGUGCCUAACACAUGCAAGUCGAGCGGCAGCGAGGGGUGCUUGCACCCUGUCGGCGAGCGGCGGACGGCUGAGUAACGCGUGGGAACGUGCCCCAAAGUGAGGAAUAACUGCCCGAACGGGUAGCUAAUACCGCAUAUUAUCUUCGGAUCAAAGGAUUUAUCGGCGAUGGGAGCGGCUCGCGUCGGAUUAGGUAGUUGGUGAGGUAAUGGCUCACCAAGCCGACGAUCCGUAGCUGGUCGGAGAGGAUGACCAGCCAGACUGGAACUGAGACACGGACCAGACGGGUACGGGAGGCAGCAGUGAGGAAUCUACCACAAUGGGCGAAAGUCUGAUGGAGCAACGCCGCGUGCAGGACGAAGGCCGUCGUGUUGUAAACUGCUUUGAUAAGUGAGGAGUAUGACGGUAACUGAUGAAGAAGGAUCGGCUAACUACGUG